GAGCUGUUACACUUACACACCACUCUCUCUCUCUCUCGUUCUCUCUAUUUCUCCCUGUUUUCCUGUGUCUUUCUCCACCUCCUCAUAUAUCGCCAGCAGCCACUCCUGCUCAAAGCCGUCGUUGCCAACCAGAUCCACCAUGCCACCACCUGCUAUUGCAUUUAGCUUCUUCGAUAGUGCAUUUCCGUAUUGAGACGGAUUCACCCCUCCUCGCCUGGAUCCCAUAGUUUCUCUGCCUCCUUCUCGCGCAGAUCCGCCAUCGUCGGCGACGGGAGGGGCGGAUCCGGCGACCCCUUCCCCUCCUGCACGGAUCCCGUGGGCGGCUUCACUCCUCCUCGCUUGGAUCCUGUCGUCUCUCCUCCCCACUGUCGCGCGGAUCCUUCGUGGGUGGUGAUGGGAGGUGCGGAUCCGGCGAUCUCUUCCCCUCUCACACGAUUCUCGUCGUCUCUCCGCCCCCCUCUCGCACGGAUCUGCCGCCAGCGACGACGGGAGGGCGGACCCGGCGGCCUCCCCUAGGGUGACGACGGCAAUUGGUUUCAAGAGGUGCCGAUGUCCAUGAUGAGACCGUAUGCGUCUCAUGGUCUCCAUCACCAAAGCCGCCGAUAGCGCCAAGAAGAUGUACAUUGCUCUUGAGCUCCCCCGAUCCCCACUCGUUCCAUCACCAUCACUCAACGGACUCCCCGCUAGCUGUCCGGCCGGCCGGAGAGGAGGGUUCAAGCUUGCAGACGAAGGUGGACCGAGGAGAGCGCAGCCGAGUGGUGGCACUGAAGAUAGUGGGCGUUUCUUCAUGAUUUCAGGGGAGGAGCGGAUUGUUGAGUGGAUUCGAGGCAGAGAUGGUGGUUAGGAUGGAGUGGUGAUGUCAUCGGAGGUUGUCUCGAAUGCUGCAGUCGAGGUGUCUGAACCGAAAUCUAUUUUCCAACUUCGGGAGUGGAGGAGAAACUGGGUUCAUGUUUUCACCGCCGCUGGUCGGAAAUUGGGUUCAGUUUAAUGAUAACGUGGAAGUGGCUUGACCCCCGAGGAAGAGCCUCGUGAUUUGUAUUUUUGUAUUUUCUUGUGUGUUUCUAUUAUUUCUAUAUGUAUGUCUUGCCUGUGAUUGUAUUCGUGUAUGUGUAUUUUUCCCCUGCGAGAGAAAUCUGUAAAAUCGUGUUAGUGUGAGCGCUAAAAAAUAGCGGUAGAAAUAACAGAAGAAAAGGAAAACGGAGGACUUGCGGUUUGUGGCCUUGUGGGCUUGUGGUGCACCUGGACUUGUGGGUUAGGCUUUAUGGGCUUGUCGCUUGGACCCGGGCUUGCUUGUGGGCCUGUGGACAGAUGUGGCCUACUGGGCAAUGAUCACACACAAAAGCGCGUACGGACGAAAAAUCGGAUCUGUGUAAACUGCGCGUACGGACGAAAAAGCGUACGGACGACAAAUUGGUGACGAAAGGAAAAAUCCGAAUCUUUUAGUUAAGAUUUGUCUAACAAA